rnacentral:piRNA from 1 species
UGGGCAACCGUCUAUGACUGGUUAUAGCCA